rnacentral:lncRNA from 1 species
GUUGAACAUUUCUUUAGGUGUUUCUCAGCCAUUUGGCAUUCCUCAGCAGUGAAUUCUUUGUUUAACUCUGUACCCCAUUUUUUAUUUAUUUGGUUGGUUUUUGUUUUGGUUUGGAUUUUUUUUUUUAAGGCAGGAUCUCACUAUAUAGCACUGGCUAUUCUGGAACUUGCUGUAUAUCUGUCUACCUGCUUUUCCUCCAUAGUUCUAAGACUAAAGUGUGUGCCACCAUACUCAGAAGUGAUGUCUUUUCUAACAUUUUUUCUCUCUUUCAAUCUAAGCUUAUUGCAGAAGAAUUUUGUCUGAAAACAGUUUCAAAGUUUGGACCACAGCCUAUCCCAGGUAAAAGACCAGCAUCAGGACAAGGUGUCAGUUCUUUUGUCCCUGCUCAGAAAAUCACAAAGCCUUCUGCUAAAUAUGGAGUGCCUAUAACAUAUAAGAAGUACGGAGAUAAAAAGUUACUUGAAAAAAAACCACCCCCAAAGCAUAAGCAGGCCCAUCAGAUUCCAGUGAAGAAAAUGAAUUCUGGAGAAGAAAGGAAGAAAAUGUCUGAGGAAGCAGCAAAAAAACGAAGGUUGGAAUUUAUUGAGAAAGAAAAGAAGCAAAAGGAUCAGAUCAGGUUCCUGAAGGCUGAGCAGCUGAAGAGGCAAGAGAAGCAGCGGUUGGAGAGGAUAAAUAGGGCCAGGGAACAAGGAUGGAGGAAUGUUUUAAGGGCUGGUGGAAGCGGUGAAGUAAAGGUAGGCAUUCGAUCCCAACAGAGCUAAACUGUUGUUUGUCUCCAGUUUCAACUCCUUUUGUAAAAUGUGUAUGACUAGCUACUUACUUGGUAUACCGAUAAUGUUUAUCUAGGGUUCUGUAGCAUUUAUUAUGGUUUAUUCCUUAUUGUGUAUAUUUAAUAUGUAAUAUAAUAAAAAUUAAUUCACGUGUGACAUUUAUAAAAUCAGUUAAAACUUUCACAGUGGCUGUAAUACAGAUUUUCCCCCCAGAGGAAUCUCACAAAUUAAAUGCAAAAUCAAAUAUGCUCAUUAGAAUUUUUCACCUGACCUUGAAAAUUAAGUUCUCAGAUGCUUUCCUUAAUUGGCCACUGCCAGACUCUGCAGGAUAAGUGCACCCAGCCCUCCCGUGCUCCUCUGCCCUCCCUAUGUUGAGCAGCAGAGCUGACUGCUGAGUGUGUAGCCUGUGACUCCCCUGUCUUUGUCUCACCUUUCUGCAUUGCCAGCUUCCCUCCUCUUCCACUGGUCCUCUCCAUUCAUUUACCCAGAUAAUCUAGAUAGACCCUUCAGUUCACACAUUCUCUUUGGGCAAAUGUGACUCUGUAACCUGGGGCAAGUUCACUUUUUUGAGUUUAUUUUCGAAACCCAGAGCUUCUCUGCUUUCUCGGACAGAAAUGUCUUCAGCCAUCCUUGUUCCGUCAGCCUUCUCCUUCCCCUUUGCUUUGAGAAGUACCGGCCUGUGUUCCUAUUCAUAAGCUGAGUCCUAAAGCAGUCUGGGGACUCUCCUUCCCUAGUGUACGCACCUUGAGUCGUAAGUAGAACUGGCUGAUGGUAGCUCCUUUUACAAGAUUACCUUAUGUGAUGGGCCUCUCCCACGAUUACCUUGACAACAGACUUCUUUAUAGUAGACUGGAAAGGGAAAGAAGCACAGGGACAUCUGUGUCUGCUGACCUGAAGGGAGCCAGCAUGGAAGAAGCAAGAAAGUAUAGAUGACCUCUGCAUUAUAGCAGUGAUCUCUAGCCAGUAACUGAGGAGAAAGUGACUGAGGAAGAGUCCUGGCCUAUGUUCAAUUAUGAAACAACACUCCCUAGAGCCAGAGAGCUCUGAGACGCUGGGCUUCAGAUAUGAAUGUAGCCCUCCCUGGCUUACAGCUAAGUAUUCCUACCUAAAUCAUAUACCUUCCUAAAUCAUAUAGCUACCUAUUUAAUCAUAUACCUGCCUCAACCAGGGAAUUCGAUAAUAAGUAGGUGGUGUUUUGAGCUGCUCAGUUUGUCAUAAGUUUUUGCACGGCCGUAGGAAAUGGAUGCAUAUUUCCUGUGCACUGUCGUUUUCCUUUUGACAGCGAGCCAGGUGUGCUCAGCUGCAGUUAAACUGUCAGUUCACCUGGCUGUUGCUCCGCUAGCCUCUCAGUGUGGAGAUAGACAAGACGGUUAUCAGAGUGGACUGCCGCUGACCAUUCUUGUUUCUUCUCAAAGUUGUGAUGUGGACAAAAGUACGUUUUGUCGGUUUCAUCAGUAUGUAUAGAUUUGCAUAUAUACUGUAUGUAUAGAUAUGCAUAUUUACUGUCACCAGUUUGUGUUGUUUUCUUUCGAGAUGUUUUUCAAAUCAUAGGUCAGGAAUACAGUAUGAAUCUUUUUUCACAAGUCAGUACUUUAGCAGACAUUAUAUAGCAUUGUAAGUAUUUCUCUUUUAUAUGAGUAGUAUUAUUACUUCCUGGUCAGUAAGCAAGAGCUCAGGAUUUGGUAUGAGGUGUUGUUUUUGUUGGUUGAUUGGUUGGUUUUUCAAGACAGGCUUUCUCUCUGUAACUCUGUCUUGGAACUCGCUCUAUAGACCUUGCUGUCCUUGAACACAGAGAUCUGACAGUCUGGGAUUAAUGGUGUGCAUUACCCAGCUGAAUCUGGUCCAUAGUUAAAAAUCACCUUCUUCUGAACUGAACUGUUGGCCAGGACUCCUACCCAGCAUUUGGGCCAAAUUCACCAAGAGUAUUGAGAAUUUGCUGCUUACUUCCUUACUCCUUUAAAAACAUUGUUUUAGGUUUAUUGCAUGUAUGUAUGUGCACCACAUGCAAUGCUGUUGGCCACAGAGGUCCAAAGAGGUGUCACAUCCUCUGGAACUGGUAUUAGAGUUGGUUAUGAGCCACCAUAUGGGAGAUGAACUGAACCCAGGGUAUGUGCAGGAGACAUUAUUUUUGGAUAGUUAGGUACUAUGUUUUUAAUAAUGUUUGUUUCAUUUUAUAGAAUUCAGUAAUGCUUCCAUGAUAAGAAGUAAAUUCAUGUCUGUACCUGUUCCUAAGUUUUAAAUAUUUACUAUGUCAGACUCUGAUUUCUGCAUAGUUGCCAAGGACCUGGAGUUACAGUGUAAUGUGAGUCAAAGAAAUUCCCAAAGGAGAGAUAGAUGAAAACUGAAAGUUAAAGUACUUCAAAGUCAAUGUUUUUAUUAUGUAUAGACAUUGUUGCUCAAAAGUAUAAAUAUCUGACUUUAUUGGGCAAUUGCAGAAUCCAAGACUUCUUGGCUAUGUGCCACCAUGCUUGGCGAGGUAAAUACGUAAUUUGUACCUAGUUUUGUUUAUCUAAUGAUCAUGAUAUGUAAGAAGUGUAUCUCUUAUAAACACAUACAUUUUAGUUC